GCCGGGCGUGGUGGCGGGCGCCUGUAAUCCCAGCUACUCGGGAGGCUGAGGCAGGACAAUUGCUUGAGUCCAGGAGACGGAGGUUGCAGUGAGCCAAGCUCGUGCCACUGCACUCCAGCCUGACCAACAGAGCGAUACUCUGUCUCAA
ensembl:misc_RNA Metazoa_SRP Metazoan signal recognition particle RNA